rnacentral:rRNA from 1 species
CCCAAGAGAUCGGGAUAACACCUGGAAACAGAUGCUAAUACCGGAUAACAACAGAUGAUGCCUAUCAACUGUUUAAAAGAUGGUUCUGCUAUCACUCUUGGNAUGGACCUGCGGUGCAUUAGCUAGUUGGUAGGGUAACGGCCUACCAAGGCGAUGAUGCAUAGCCGAGUUGAGAGACUGAUCGGCCACAUUGGGACUGAGACACGGCCCAAACUCCUACGGGAGGCAGCAGGG